AUAGUUGCAGGGUAUAGACCCGAAACCGAGUGAUCUAUCCAUGAGCAGGUUGAAAGUGACGUAACAGUCACCGGAGGACCGAACCCACUCCCGUUGAAAAGGUAGGGGAUGACUUGUGGAUAGGGGUGAAAGGCUAAUCAAACUCGGUGAUAGCUGGUUCUCCCCGAAAGCUAUUUAGGUAGCGCCUCGGACGGACACCAUGGGGGGUAGAGCACUGUUUCGGCUAGGGGGUCAUCCCGACUUACCAAACCGAUGCAAACUGACGAAUACCCAUGAGUGAUAUCCGGGAGACAGACGGCGGGUGCUAACGUCCGUCGUCAAGAGGGAAACAACCCAGACCGCCAGCUAAGGCCCCAAAUUUCUAGUUAAGUGGGAAACGAUGUGGGAAGGCAUAGACAGCUAGGAGGUUGGCUUAGAAGCAGCCACCCUUUAAAGAAAGCGUAAUAGCUCACUAGUCGAGUCGGCCUGCGCGGAAGAUGUAACGGGGCUCAAACUAGGAGCCGAAGCUGCGGAUUUAAUUGUUUCAAUUAAGUGGUAGGGGAGCAUUGUGUAAGUCUGAGAAGGUGUGUUGUAAAGCAUGCUGGAGAUAUCACAAGAGCGAAUGCUGACGUGAGUAACGACAAAACGGGUGAAAAGCCCGUUCGCCGGAAGACCAAGGGUUCCAGUCCAACGUUAAUCGGGGCUGGGUGAGUCGACCCCUAAGGUGAGGCCGAAAGGCGUAAUCGAUGGGAAAUUGGUUAAUAUUCCAAUACUUGUUUAAGAUGCGAUGGAGGGACGAAGAAGGUUAUGCCAGCCUAGUGAUGGUUAUCUAGGUGGAAGGGUGUAGGUAGGUUUAGUAGGCAAAUCCGCUGAACUAAUACUAAGACCUGAUAGCAAGCCGUAAGGCGAAGUGGCAAAUACCAUGCUUCCAAGAAAAGCUUCUAAGCGAUAGUUUUAAACGAAUCGUACCCGAAACCGACACAGGUGGUCAGGUAGAGAAUACCAAGGCGCUUGAGAGAACUCUGCUGAAGGAACUAGGCAAAAUGGUACCGUAACUUCGGGAGAAGGUACGCUGCCGAUGGUGAGUGAACACGCUUCACAAAGCUAUUGGCAGUCGCAGAUACCAGGUCGCUGCAACUGUUUAUUAAAAACACAGCACUCUGCAAACACGAAAGUGGACGUAUAGGGUGUGAUGCCUGCCCGGUGCUGGAAGGUUAAUUGAUGGGGUUAGCGUAAGCGAAGCCCUUGAUCGAAGCCCCAGUAAACGGCGGCCGUAACUAUAACGGUCCUAAGGUAGCGAAAUUCCUUGUCGGGUAAGUUCCGACCUGCACGAAUGGCAUAAUGAUGGCGACGCUGUCUCCAGCAGAGACUCAGUGAAAUCGAAAUCGCAGUGAAGAUGCUGUGUACCCGCGGCUAGACGGAAAGACCCCGUGAACCUUUACUACAGCUUUACAUUGAACUUUGACCUUACCUGUGUAGGAUAGGUGGGAGGCUUUGAAGCAUGCACGCCAGUGUGUGUGGAGCCGACCUUGAAAUACCACCCUGGUAAUGUUGGGGUUCUAACUUCGGAUUAACAGAUCCAAGGACAAUGUAUGGUGGGUAGUUUGACUGGGGCGGUCUCCUCCUAAAGAGUAACGGAGGAGUACGAAGGUGCGCUCAGAACGGUCGGAAAUCGUUCAAAGAGUAUAAAGGCAGAAGCGCGCUUAACUGCGAGACCCACAAGUCGAGCAGGUACGAAAGUAGGUCUUAGUGAUCCGGUGGUUCUGUAUGGAAGGGCCAUCGCUCAACGGAUAAAAGGUACUCUGGGGAUAACAGGCUGAUACCGCCCAAGAGUUCAUAUCGACGGCGGUGUUUGGCACCUCGAUGUCGGCUCAUCUCAUCCUGGGGCUGAAGCAGGUCCCAAGGGUAUGGCUGUUCGCCAUUUAAAGAGGUACGCGAGCUGGGUUUAGAACGUCGUGAGACAGUUCGGUCCCUAUCUACCGUGGGCGUUGGAAAUUUGAGAGGAUCUGCUCCUAGUACGAGAGGACCAGAGUGGACGAACCUCUGGUGGUUCGGUUGUCACGCCAGUGGCACAGCCGAGUAGCUAUGUUCGGAUGGGAUAACCGCUGAAAGCAUCUAAGCGGGAAGCCCACCUCAAGAU
rnacentral:rRNA from 1 species